rnacentral:rRNA from 1 species
AUGCAGAACUCGCACCCAGUCGCUUACCUUAGCAAGGCAUUGUCACCACGAAACUUGGGGUUAUCAGCUUACGAAAAGGAAUGCUUGGCCCUGCUGUUAGCCGUCGGUCGAUGGAGACCAUACUUGUAGCAUGCAGAGUUCGUGGUGCGCACGGACCAGAAAAUCUUGUUACACCUGACAGAUCAACGAUUACACACCCCAAUUCAGCAGAGGGCAUUCAAAAAGCUGGUAGGGCUUCAAUUCAUCAUUCAGUACAAGGCUGGACUAACAAAUUGCGCGGCUGAUGCGCUGUCGCGCCGU